GCAGGCGUAGCGCAGCUGGUAGCGCGCAAUGUUGCCAACGUUGAGGUCGAGGGUUCGAUCCCCUCCGUCUGCUCCA
rnacentral:tRNA from 1 species